rnacentral:tRNA from 1 species
CCCGUAGCUCAGCAGGUAGAGCAACUGACUUUUAAUCAGUAGGUCCCAGGUUCGAAACCUGGCG